rnacentral:rRNA from 1 species
AUGAACGCUGGCGGCGUGCUUAACACAUGCAAGUCGAGCGAGAAGUUUUGAAAAGAUUCUUCGGAUGAAAUUUAAAAUGGAAAGCGGCGGACGGGUGAGUAACGCGUAGGCAACCUGCCCCAUACAAAGGGAUAGCAUUUGGAAACGAAUAUUAAUACCUUAUGAAACUUAACUAGUGCAUGCUAGGUAGGUCAAAGAUUUAUCGGUAUGGGAUGGGCCUGCGUCUGAUUAGCUAGUUGGUGAGGUAACGGCUCACCAAGGCGACGAUCAGUAGCCGACCUGAGAGGGUGAACGGCCACAUUAGAACUGAGACACGGUCCAAACUCCUACGGGAGGCAGCAGUGGGGAAUAUUGCACAAUGGGGGAAACCCUGAUGCAGCAACGCCGCGUGAACGAUGAAGGCCUUUGGGUCGUAAAGUUCUGUUCUAGGUGAUGAAAACUGACAGUAACCUAGGAGAAAGCCCCGGCUAACUCCGUG